rnacentral:rRNA from 1 species
GAAAGUAGGAAAGGGCGCAUGGCGGAUGCCUUGGCUCUCGGAGGCGAUGAAGGACGUGAUAAGCUGCGAUAAGUCACGGGGAGGUGCAAAUAACCCUUGAUCCGUGAAUCUCCGAAUGGGACAACCCGUUACCUUGAAGAGGUAACAUCCAUCAAUGAUGGAGGCUAACGCAGGGAACUGAAACAUCUUAGUACCUGCAGGAAAAGAAAAUAACAAUGAUUCCCCCAGUAGUGGCGAGCGAACGGGGAAGAGCCCAAACCAUUCAUGUUACGGCAUGGAUGGGGUUGUAGGACCACGGCGUUGCAAGAACUCUUGUGAGAAGAACAGUCUGGAAAGACUGACCAAAGACGGUGACAGUCCGGUAUUCGAAGCAAGACGAAGCAUAGUGGUAUCCUGAGUAGCGCGGAACACGAGGAAUUCUGCGUGAAUCUGCCGGGACCAUCCGGUAAGGCUAAAUACUCCCGAGAGACCGAUAGUGGACCAGUACCGUGAGGGAAAGGUGAAAAGCACUUCGAACAGAAGAGUGAAAUAGUACCUGAAACCGUGCGCCUACAAGCGGUCGGAGCACGAAAGUGUGACGGCGUGCCUUUUGCAUAAUGAACCUACGAGUUACCGUAUCUGGCAAGGUUAAGGGUCACGAGACCUGCAGCCGAAGCGAAAGCGAGUCUGAACAGGGCGUCAAGUCAGUUGCGGUAGACGCGAAACCAAGUGAUCUACCCUUGGCCAGGAUGAAGUCUGGGUAACACCAGAUGGAGGUCCGCACCAAUAAGCGUUGAAAAGCUUCUGGAUGAGCUGAGGGUAGGGGUGAAAGGCUAAUCAAACUUGGAGAUAGCUCGUACUCCCCGAAAUGCAUUUAGGUGCAGCCUCGCGGGUUACUGAUGUGAGGUAGAGCGACUGAUUGGAUGCGAGGGCUUCACCGCCUAUCAAGUCCUGACAAACUCCGAAUGCGCAUCAGUUCUACCGCAGGAGUGAGGGCAUGGGUGCUAAGGUCCGUGCCCGAGAGGAGAAGAAUCCGGACCACCGGCUAAGGUCCCGAAAUGACAGCUAAGUUAAACUAACGAAGUCUGAUUGCUAAGACAGCUAGGAUGUUGGCUUGGAAGCAGCCAUUCAUUUAAAGAGUGCGUAACAGCUCACUAGUCGAGGAAUCGGGCGUGGAUAAUAAUCGGGUAUCAAGUUGUCUGCCGAAGCUAUAGAAUCAGCAAUGAUUGGUAGGGGAGCAUUCCAUUCUGCGUUGAAGGCGUGGCGUGAGCCAUUCUGGAGCGUAUGGAAAAGCAAAUGUAGGUAUAAGUAACGAUAAAGGGGGUGAGAAACCCCCUCGCCGAAAGACUAAGGUUUCCUGAUCAACGCUAAUCGGAUCAGGGUCAGUCGGGUCCUAAGGCUCAGCCGAACGGCGAGGCCGAUGGCAGAAACGGUUAAUAUUCCGUUACUACCUUUGAGGGUGACGUGGGGAAGCAGUAGUGACACUGCCGCGGGCUGACGGAAUAGCCCGUUAAAGAGUGUAGGCGUUGAUUUCCGCAGGCAAAUCCACGGAAAGAGCCGAACUUGACAGUAUGGAGCGUCCUUCGGGACAAUCCAACAGCGCAGGUAAUCAGACUGCCGAGAAAAUCCGCUAAACAUAACUUCAGAGGUACCCGUACCGCAAACGGACACACGUAGUCGGGUUGAAUAUACUAAGGCGCUUGAGUGAAUCACGGUUAAGGAACUAGGCAAACUGACCCUGUAACUUCGGGAUAAAGGGUCCCUACCCAGUAAUGGGAGGGCGCAGAGAAUAGGUCCAGGCAACUGUUUAACAAAAACACAGGGCUGUGCCAAUAUGAAAGUAGACGUAUACAGCCUGACACCUGCCCGGUGCUGGAAGGUUAAGAGGAGAUGUCAUCGCAAGAGAAGCAUUGAAUUGAAGCCCCAGUAAACGGCGGCCGUAACUAUAACGGUCCUAAGGUAGCGAAAUUCCUUGUCGGGUAAGUUCCGACCUGCACGA